rnacentral:sRNA from 1 species
UUAUACUAGGGACUCAAGGCCAUGCGCUGCUGUGCUUGCACAAAGCAGCACAUGUCUUUGAGGACCGCACGAACAUGAGUAAGGAACGAUUUUCGAAGAAAAUCAGUGACUUACGAAUGGGCGUAGGAUUGUAAAAUUUCAUCUUAUGUACAUGCAUAGAUAAAUAUAA